rnacentral:rRNA from 1 species
GACGAACGCUGGCGGCGUGCCUAAUACAUGCAAGUCGAACGCUGAAGAGAGGAGCUUACUCUUCUUGGAUGAGUUGCGAACGGGUGAGUAACGCGUAGGUAACCUGCCUUGUAGCGGGGGAUAACUAUUGGAAACGAUAGCUAAUACCGCAUAACAAUGGAUGACACAUGUCAUUUAUUUGAACGGGGCAAUUGCUCCACUACAAGAUGGACCUGCGUUGUAUUAGCUAGUAGGUGAGGUAAUGGCUCACCUAGGCGACGAUACAUAGCCGACCUGAGAGGGUGAUCGGCCACACUGGGACUGAGACACGGCCCAGACUCCUACGGGAGGCAGCAGUAGGGAAUCUUCGGCAAUGGGGGCAACCCUGACCGAGCAACGCCGCGUGAGUGAAGAAGGUUUUCGGAUCGUAAAGCACUGUUGGAAGUGAAGAACGGGUGUGAGAGUGGAAAGUGCACACUGUGAGGGUAGAUUACCAGAAAGGGACGGCUAACUACGU